rnacentral:misc_RNA from 1 species
GUUAAGUUUGACCUUAGGUUGGGGCAGAGCAAGCCCAUUUACAAUGCAUUCAUGGCUAUUCGGAACUCGUCCGAUUGGUCGACCCUUUCGGACGCUCGCAAGCGCAUAGUAGAGGGUCAGAUUAAGGAAGCUGUUCUCAAUGGAGUUGGUUUAGAAGACAAGCAAAGGGAGAAAUUUAAUGAAAUUGAGCAAGAGCUUCAAAAGCUAUCACAGAAAUUUAGUGAAAAUGUAUUGGAUGCAACCAAGAAGUUUGAAAAGUUGGUUACAGAUAAGAAGGAAAUAGAAGGGUUGCCUGCUACAGCACUUGGUCUUGCAGCACAAACAUCCCUAUCUAAGGGCCAUGAAAAU